rnacentral:rRNA from 1 species
GCAAGUCGAACGGCAGCACGGGCUUCGGUCUGGUGGCGAGUGGCGAACGGGUGAGUAAUAUAUCGGAACAUACCCUAGAGUGGGGGAUAACGUAGCGAAAGUUACGCUAAUACCGCAUACGAACUAAGGUUGAAAGUGGGGGAUCGCAAGACCUCAUGCUCAUGGAGUGGCCGAUAUCUGAUUAGCUAGUUGGUGAGGUAAUGGCUCACCAAGGCGACGAUCAGUAGCUGGUCUGAGAGGACGACCAGCCACACUGGAACUGAGACACGGUCCAGACUCCUACGGGAGGCAGCAGUGGGGAAUUUUGGACAAUGGGGGCAACCCUGAUCCAGCAAUGCCGCGUGAGUGAAGAAGGCCUUCGGGUUGUAAAGCUCUUUUGUCAGGGAAGAAACGGUGAGUUCUAAUACAACUUGCUAAUGACGGUACCUGAAGAAUAAGCACCGGCUAACUACGUGCCAGCAGCCGCGGUAAUACGUAGGGUGCAAGCGUUAAUCGGAAUUACUGGGCGUAAAGCGUGCGCAGGCGGUUAUAUAAGUCAGAUGUGAAAUCCCCGGGCUCAACCUGGGAACUGCAUUUGAGACUGUAUGGCUAGAGUGUGUCAGAGGGGGGUAGAAUUCCACGUGUAGCAGUGAAAUGCGUAGAGAUGUGGAGGAAUACCGAUGGCGAAGGCAGCCCCCUGGGAUAACACUGACGCUCAUGCACGAAAGCAUGGGGAGCAAACAGGAUUAGAUACCCUGGUAGUCCACGCCCUAAACGAUGUCUACUAGUUGUCGGGACUUAAUUGUCUUGGUAACGCAGCUAACGCGUGAAGUAGACCGCCUGGGGAGUACGGUCGCAAGAUUAAAACUCAAAGGAAUUGACGGGGACCCGCACAAGCGGUGGAUGAUGUGGAUUAAUUCGAUGCAACGCGAAAAACCUUACCUACCCCUGACAUGGUUGGA